rnacentral:rRNA from 1 species
AUUGAACGCUGGCGGCAUGCCUUACACAUGCAAGUCGAACGGCAGCACGGGGCAACCUGGUGGCGAGUGGCGAACGGGUGAGUAAUGCAUCGGAACGUGCCAUUGAGUGGGGGAUAACGUAGCGAAAGUUGCGCUAAUACCGCAUAUUCUGUGAGCAGGAAAGCAGGGGACCGCAAGGCCUUGCGCUCUUUGAGCGGCCGAUGUCAGAUUAGCUAGUUGGUGAGGUAACGGCUUACCAAGGCGACGAUCUGUAGCGGGUCUGAGAGGAUGAUCCGCCACACUGGAACUGAGACACGGUCCAGACUCCUACGGAGGCAGCAGUGGGGAAUUUUGGACAAUGGGCGCAAGCCUGAUCCAGCCAUGCCGCGUGAGUGAAGAAGGCCUUCGGGUU